GUAAGAUGCGCCCGAUUUUCAAACAGCUUGACUCACUGGUAAAAAUCGAAGUAUGUAAUGGGUAAAAAAAAAAAAUAAAGGAGCAAGACAACAAGAUGUCUGUGGAUACAUGCUUAUUAGCUGCUGAAGAAAGGACUGAGACAGUCCUGAAACGCGUCCAGCAUCCCUCUAAUAACUUUGGAGACCACCAGUUAAUUUGCCCAACUCAGCAACCAGCAGUCCGAUACCGGGAAACAUAACUGUCAAUCACCCGGCACCCGGCACAGGAGAUAUACGCGCCUCAUUGCCACGAGGACGUCACCGGCUUAACAACAUACUCACCUGCAGUACCGCUGCAGUACCAGCACCCAGAACCCACUGUCGUCCAGCAUUGCCACUGUGGGAGACGGCCGAGUCUCCGGUGAUGCUGUCUCACGCCACGAGAGCCACCCGGUGAUAACACACUGCGGGAUUUCAUAGCGCAACUGGAGGAGAUGGCAGCAUCCCCGUGAAGUCCAGCGCAUCAGUGCCCGGGAGCGGUGAGAUACAAAGUAUCUAAAGAUAUGAAUGCAUAUUAACUGCACACAAGCGUAUAUAUUGACAAUUAUCUGCUAAUAGCAAGUGUAUGAACAUUAUUUGCAAAGGUGUUCGAUUGCGAUCUACUGCUGCAGCCGGACACAUACAAAUGGUUGCUAUGAGUUACUAACAAAAACUUAUAUGGUUGCUAUUGGUUACAACUAUAUUGGAAUCUGUUACAAUGUGCAGAACUUUUGGAGAGAGGAGAGAAUUGAUUAUUGUGUAUUGAUUAUUGUGGAUGAACUAGGACUCUCCUACCCAGAUUUCUCUCCAUGUACAGUUUAUUCCUAUUAGAGGUUUUAUAUGAACUUUUAUAUGGUGGUCCUAAUAUUUUUUAACACAUUUAUUAAUAUUGUGGAAUACUUAUAUUUUAGGAUAUAUUAGCUGGUACUGCGCCUUCACAAGGGCCCUGUGAGACGCAGACGCCACUAUUCUAUUUUAUUUUCUCAUAUCUUAUUCUAUAU